GAGGCGACACACGUGCUACAAUGGCCGGCACAGGCGGGAAGCGAGGGGCGACCUUGAGCGGAUCCCUCAAAGCCGGUCUCAGUUCGGAUUGGCAGUCUGCAACUCGACUGCAUGAAGUUGGAAUCGCUAGUAAUCGUGGAUCAGCCAAGCCGCGGUGAAUACGUUCCCGGGCCUU
rnacentral:rRNA from 1 species